CUGCGCUUCUAUUAUUUCUCGGGUUAACUGCGACCUAUGCCUUGCCAAUACCACGCAAUCAUGAAAGAGGAAGGG
rnacentral:lncRNA from 1 species